rnacentral:tRNA from 1 species
GCCUGGGUGGCUCAGUUGGUUAAGCAUCUGACUUUGGCUCAGGUCAUGGUCUCGCGGUCCGUGGGUUCGAGCCCCAUGUCAGGCU